UGAUUAUUUGUGAUUUGUGAUACUAAAAUUGGAAUGAUACAGAGAAGAUUAGCAUGGCCCCUGUGCAAGGAUAACGUGCAAAUUCGUGAAGCAUUCCAUAUUUGA